GGUGGCAAGGUGGAACUGUUUUAUCUCAAGUGUGGAGGCAGUGAACACGCAUUCGAGACCGGACCUCUGAUAAAUCUGCGAUGGACUCUGCUCUCACACUCCGGCGGAAUAGUUACACUCCCUUGUCCAGUCACGACCAGUUCAAGCGUCCUAGGCUCUACAGCGCGGGCAACCAGCCCUGGCUCCCGCUCGCCCCCACCCCCGCAGCACUGAUGCCAGAGGGACGGCAAAGCCAAGAGUCCCUGUGCGAAGGAAGCAACGCUGACAGCGACCCUGACAGCCCCGAAGAAACGAGUGGCUGUGUCCGCUUCUGAGUGAAGAUGAAGGUCUCUUCCUUCAAUGUGUCAAAGUUCUGGGUUCAAUCAUGUUAGAAAGAUGAUAAUAUUUGUUUUAAUUCCAUAUUCUUUUAAAUGUUGGUCUGAUUAUGAGGUCAUUUGUUGGUCCUAAAUCUCUCUGUUUAACUUCACUCUGCAUGCUGAGGCUUCAAACUGGAAGACUUUUCAUGGGUAUCAAACACUACUGCAUGUGCACAACAAUCAAGCAACCAAGAAUAAACAGGUUUACUUAUCCUCUAUGUAAAUAUUAUAAUACCUCCCUCAACUUUAACUUGUGCGUUGAAAACCAUUUUUAGGUCAUUGCAAAUAGAACUUGUUAUACAGAAGAUGUUGUAGGAAUUAUUUUAUAAGAUACCAAUAUUCUCAUUUAGCAAACGUACUGUAAUUGUAAGUCUUAUAUUCAUAUUUAUAACAUCACAUGUUAUGUUAUUGUUAUUUGGUUUUUAUUUGUGCUUUUGUCGUUUUGAAGGAAAUUAAAAUACUGUAUUGAGUUGGUUUCUUCUGUUUUGGAAGCCUAUCUUGUUGGUCUUUUUAGAAAUACCUCAUUGGGAAAACUGUGUUCUAGCAGCAGUUAAAGAAGUUUAGUUUUCUGUCAUAGGCUACUUGUAAUGAGAUGGUUUGCUCUAUCACAAUUUAAACCCUAAAUGUUCAUCUGUUUAUUGUUUUUCUUGACUUUAUAUCCAAGCAUGUUGAUGGCUUAUUAGCUAUAUCUUGACAUCAUUUGUAUCCUACUUGCCAUACAUUUCUUCUAAUUGCUUGGUAUUGGUAAUGUAACUUUACUCUUUACUUCAUUCUCUUGACCUAUUUAAAACACAAAAUCCUCUCAUCAUACUUAAUCCUAGACAGUAGCACAAGUUAUAUUCUACGACUUUGUAAUGUUUGAAUGUUGAUAUGUAUUCGCUCAUAGCAGCCUACUGUGCCUUUCACGCAGAAAAUAAAAGUGAAUUCUCAUAUGA